rnacentral:rRNA from 2 species
ACGGAUAUCUCGGCUCUCGCCACGAUGAAGAAUGUAGCGAAAUGCGAUACUUAGUGUGAAUUGCAGAAUCCCGUGAAUCAUCGAGUCUUUGAACGCAAGUUGCGCCCGAGGCCUCGGCCAAGGGCACGUCUGCUUGGGCGUCGCAC